rnacentral:rRNA from 1 species
GAUGAACGCUAGCUACAGGCUUAACACAUGCAAGUCGAGGGGCAGCGGUAUCGAAAGCUUGCUUUCGGUAGCCGGCGACCGGCGCACGGGUGAGUAACGCGUAUCGAACCUGCCUCAUACUCGGGAAUAGCCUUGCGAAAGUAAGAUUAAUGCCCGGUGUUUUCAGAGUCCCGCAUGAGGCUUUGAACAAAGAUUUAUCGGUAUGAGAUGGCGAUGCGUCCCAUUAGCUUGUUGGCGGGGUAACGGCCCACCAAGGCAUCGAUGGGUAGGGGUUCUGAGAGGAAGGCCCCCCACAUUGGACCUGAGACACGGUCCAAACUCCUACGGGAGGCAGCAGUGAGGAAUAUUGGUCAAUGGGCGGAAGCCUGAACCAGCCAAGUAGCGUGCAGGAAGACGGCCCUCCGGGUUGUAAACUGCUUUUAGUUGGGAAUAAAACGGGGCUCGUGAGCCCCCUUGCAUGUACCAUCAGAAAAAGGACCGGCUAAUUCCGUG